ensembl:rRNA 5S_rRNA 5S ribosomal RNA
GUCUACAGCCAUACCACCCUGAGCACACCUGAUCUCAUCUGAUCUUGGCAACUAAGCAGGUGCCAGGCCUAGGUAGUACCUGGGUGGGGGAAUACUGAACUGCUAACC